ACGUAGGUGGCAAGCGUUGUCCGGAUUUACUGGGUGUAAAGGGCGUGUAGCCGGGUCUGCAAGUCAGAUGUGAAAUCCAUGGGCUCAACCCAUGAACUGCAUUUGAAACUGUAGAUCUUGAGUGUCGGAGGGGCAAUCGGAAUUCCUAGUGUAGCGGUGAAAUGCGUAGAUAUUAGGAGGAACACCAGUGGCGAAGGCGGAUUGCUGGACGAUAACUGACGGUGAGGCGCGAAAGUGUGGGGAGCAAACAG
rnacentral:rRNA from 1 species